AGUGAACGCUGGCGGUAGGCCUAACACAUGCAUGUCGAACGGCAGCACAGUAAGAGCUUGCUCUUACGGGUGGCGAGUGGCGGACGGGUGAGGAAUACAUCGGAAUCUACUUUUUCGUGGGGGAUAACGUAGGGAAACUUACGCUAAUACCGCAUACGACCUACGGGUGAAAGCAGGGGAUCUUCGGACCUUGCGCGAUUGAAUGAGCCGAUGUCGGAUUAGCUAGUUGGCGGGGUAAAGGCCCACCAAGGCGACGAUCCGUAGCUGGUCUGAGAGGAUGAUCAGCCACACUGGAACUGAGACACGGUCCAGACUCCUACGGGAGGCAGCAGUGGGGAAUAUUGGACAAUGGGCGCAAGCCUGAUCCAGCCAUACCGUGUGGGUGAAGAAGGCCUUCGGGUUGUAAAGCCCUUUUGUUGGGAAAGAAAAGCAGCAGGUUAAUACCCCGCUGUUCUGACGGUACCCAAAGAAUAAGCACCGGCUAACUUCGUG
rnacentral:rRNA from 1 species